UUUAUUCUCAUCAAGUCAAAGUAUUUCUUUGCGUGUGACGAGUUGUUGUUGAAUUAUUCGACGACCAGUCACUAGUGAAUUUUCCGGUGGGAUUUCCGGGUGAGCUUCCGGCGAGAUUUCUGGACGAGCUUCCGGUGAGAUUUCUAGACGAGCUUCCGGCGGGUUUUCUAUUGACCUCAGCUGACCGCAUCUUCCGUUGUUCAUUUCAGCCUGUGGCUAAGGUGAGACUGACGAGCAGGAGUGAUUUCUAUCGGAUUGGUGCUUUGGGAGUUUUAUUUCUUUCUUUUUCAAACUUGCGGAUUUUAUGCUUUUAUCGAUACUCUCGAGAUUUAUUAUGUUAUUUGGAUUUAUGGCUAUUUAUUGGAUUUACGACUUUGGAGUUGACUUUUGAGAAGUAAUAAAUGGAGAUUUCAGAAUUUUAUUUGUUUAUUUUAUUUUAGAAAUUACGGGUGUUACAAUUUAGAUCAAUUGGUGACAGCUUGUCCUGUGGGAAUGCUGUUAAAGGGUGAGGUCCUGGGUUCGAGGCUCACCAACAACCUAAUUAUGGAGUUAGAGAGAACUCAUAAUAGAGGGGUUGGGGUCGGUGCGCUGCAGCGCUGUGAGCCUAGGGCCCAUGGGCGGGUAGUUCCACGGGGCGGGUUGUCACACUUUUCUUUCGGUUUCUCAUAUUUUUCUCAAUGAAACUCAGGUUUGAUUUUCUUAUUCCUAGAUAGUGCUUAAAAGUCUAAAAUGUUUCUUGUGGAACAAAGAAUCGCCCUCUAAUGCCAAAAGGAUGUUCAGCUAAUUUAGGCAUUCUAAUAACAGCCGUCGA